UACGAAGGGUGCAAGCGUUACUCGGAAUUACUGGGCGUAAAGCGUGCGUAGGUGGUUCGUUAAGUCUGAUGUGAAAGCCCUGGGCUCAACCUGGGAAUGGCAUUGGAUACUGGCGACCUAGAGUGCGGUAGAGGGGUGUGGAAUUCCCGGUGUAGCAGUGAAAUGCGUAGAUAUCGGGAGGAACACCGGUGGCGAAGGCGGCUUCCUGGACCGACACUGACGCUGAGGCGCGAAAGCUAGGGGAGCAAACAGG
rnacentral:rRNA from 1 species